GGAUAUAAUGAAGAGUCACUCUGCGUUCUGUGUGCAGGAAGUCAACAUGUUGGCCUCGUUUGUUCUCUCCUGGCUCUUUGGUGUUUGUCUCGGAGUUGAAGUCACCCAAACUCCUCUGGAAGUCCUCAGAGAGCCUGGAGAAGACGUCCAGCUGGUCUGCAGCCAUGGAAAAACGGACUACACCUACAUGCAGUGGUACCAGAAAUCCCCUGGAGAUGCAGCCCUGAAGCGCAUCGGACACGUGAAUUAUGGAGACAAACAAUACGAGGAGUCAUUUGAAAAACAUUUUAAUUUCACUGGCGACCUCAGUGGUGAUAAACCAAAGAAUAUUUCUCUGUUCAUCGUCGACCUGAAGCUCCAACACACUGCAGUGUAUUACUGUACAGCCAGCUAUGCACACUGA